AGCAGAAUUUCGGAUGAAGUUUCUCUGUGUUCGCACAGGAUCAGUUCAAAAUUAAAUCGGAGCUUGAGUAAUUAAAAUAGCGAGUUUGUCGCGUCCACUAACUGGAUUUUUACGAAACGCCUUCUAGCUGUCCAAGAACCAUUUAAUUAAAGCUAAACCAUCAACUCUCGUAAAUCGAAAAGGGUGGAAUGCAAAAUCUUUUGUUCCUAUUUAAUCCUGCUACCUACAUUUGUAAUGCUUUGUCAGGUCCGUUACUCGUGUCUCGACAGGGCUCUUAUUUAAUGCAGUUUCUCCUCUCCAGCUCCCCAGCCUUCCUGUCCUCCACAACCGCCUGAUGGCCGAAGCGCAGAGCUCCGGUGUAGCGUGAAACUGGGUAGAUGAGCGGCGAAUUCGAAGCAGUUGAUCCCGGGGAGCAGCCGGACUCACCUCGCGGUCCCAGGUUACCCACCGUCUCUCCGGCUGUGUCCUGAAAGAGAAGCGCUUCCUCUCCCGGGGCUCCAGACUGCGGACCGCCUCUGCGAUCUUCAGUAGCCGGCCGGGUUACACCUGGACUGUUUCGUGUUUUUUUUUUCUCAAACUCAUGGUACUUUGAAUUAAUUCCUGUAUGAAUUUCAGGGUUGGAUCCGGGUACCUGUAGCGGGGUAACAUUCGUGGAGACUAGCUCGUUGUAGAAGAGCGUACUCGAGUUUCCCUUGCUCUUACAGGCUGCCUCUCCGUCCUGAAUUUAGGGUGCUUUUGUUUUCCGCUGUAGUAGUUUCUAAACACGCUUCUUUCCUGUAACUCGGCUGUGAAACUCCGUCUGUCGCUUCUAUGAACCCACUAAUGUUUUGUGAUCAUAAAAUGAUCUUGCAUAUUAACUUAAGUAUACUCUUAAUCCUGCAGCCCCCUCUUGGUAAAUACUGGUGCUGGCAAUAAUAAUCUGGUGUAGCAGCUCUUGCCUUGAGCUAGGCUGUAGGUAGAUCCAGCUCCAUGUGGAAAUGAGGGAAGGACUUGAGACUCCAUUGUUAAUUGCAAAGUGCUUUGCUUAGAAAUGGUUAUCAAGAAUUUGGGAGACGGAAAACAAGUAAGGGGUUCUUAAUGUGCUUUCCUCAAGCUGAACAUACCAUGAGAGAAAUUCACAGUACUGUAGGAACAGGUCAGACUGUCCUCUGCAGGAGCAUUAUAUGGUUAGUCAUGAGCCUAUGGGGUACUGUAACAUCCCCCACAAUGUGCUGUGCAUCACUACUGCUCUGAACACUGUUCUACACUUCAGACAUCUUGUGAACAGAUUCAAGAAUGGAAGCAUUUGACACUUGUUUGUGAUUAAGAUGUUUAUAUGCUGAAAACAGAAAAAGUGUAUAAAGUAAUAAAAUGAUCACUGUAUUGUUUUCCUAACAACUCAAUCUUUUCUGUAUAAAUGUUUGACAAAAUCAAUCCCCUGAAAAGAAAACAUAACUCCCUCUUAAUGAUGAAAGAAGCUCCUGUUAAGAGUGACCACUUAUCCAGGUGAAGCUGUAGAAUGUGUUGACUGUCCAGGUGUCCUCAUGAUCCUCCCAGCUCAGGGACUCAGGGGAAAGGCCUGUGAUCGUCAGCACUGCUGAGAAUUGAAAAAUACUAUCAAUUUUCCAUUAAUAAAUUUAAAAACAUGUUUCACCAUGUGACAAGUCUACUUGGAACAUAACUGCUAUGUAACCAUUUUGUGUCCAUUUAAUGAAUUUAAAUUGAUACUGA